CCUACGGGGGGCAGCAGUGGGGAAUAUUGCACAAUGGGCGCAAGCCUGAUGCAGCCAUGCCGCGUGUGUGAAGAAGGCCUUCGGGUUGUAAAGCACUUUCAGCGGGGAGGAAGGCGUUAAGGUUAAUAACCUUGUCGAUUGACGUUACCCGCAGAAGAAGCACCGGCUAACUCCGUGCCAGCAGCCGCGGUAAUACGGAGGGUGCAAGCGUUAAUCGGAAUUACUGGGCGUAAAGCGCACGCAGGCGGUCUGUCAAGUCGGAUGUGAAAUCCCCGGGCUCAACCUAGGAACUGCAUUCGAAACUGGCAGGCUAGAGUCUUGUAGAGGGGGGUAGAAUUCCAGGUGUAGCGGUGAAAUGCGUAGAGAUCUGGAGGAAUACCGGUGGCGAAGGCGGCCCCCUGGACAAAGACUGACGCUCAGGUGCGAAAGCGUGGGGAGCAAACAGGAUUAGAUACCCGAGUAGUC
rnacentral:rRNA from 1 species